rnacentral:rRNA from 1 species
UGGGGAAUAUUGGACAAUGGGGGCAACCCUGAUCCAGCAAUGCCGCGUGUGUGAAGAAGGUCUUCGGAUUGUAAAGCACUUUCGACGGGGACGAUGAUGACGGUACCCGUAGAAGAAGCCCCGGCUAACUUCGUGCCAGCAGCCGCGGUAAUACGAAGGGGGCUAGCGUUGCUCGGAAUGACUGGGCGUAAAGGGCGUGUAGGCGGUUUACACAGUCAGAUGUGAAAUCCCCGGGCUUAACCUGGGAGCUGCAUUUGAUACGUGUAGACUAGAGUGUGGGAGAGGGUUGUGGAAUUCCCAGUGUAGAGGUGAAAUUCGUAGAUAUU